GUGGGGAAUAUUGGACAAUGGGCGCAAGCCUGAUCCAGCAAUGCCGCGUGAGUGAUGAAGGCCUUAGGGUUGUAAAGCUCUUUUACCCGGGAUGAUAAUGACAGUACCGGGAGAAUAAGCCCCGGCUAACUCCGUGCCAGCAGCCGCGGUAAUACGGAGGGGGCUAGCGUUGUUCGGAAUUACUGGGCGUAAAGCGCACGUAGGCGGCUUUGUAAGUCAGGGGUGAAAGCCUGGAGCUCAACUCCAGAACUGCCUUUGAGACUGCAUCGCUUGAAUCCGGGAGAGGUAAGUGGAAUUCCGAGUGUAGAGGUGAAAUUCGUAGAUAUUCGGAAGAACACCAGUGGCGAAGGCGGCUUACUGGACCGGGAUUGACGCUGAGGUGCGAAAGCGUGGGGAGCAAACAGGAUUAGAUACCCGUGUAGUCC
rnacentral:rRNA from 1 species